rnacentral:rRNA from 1 species
AGCCUGAAGGAAGUUGAUUUUAGGUGAGCCCUGCCCAGUGAUAAAGUGUUAAACGGCCGCAGUACUUUGACUGUGCUAAGGUAGCGUAAUCAGUUGGCUUUUAAAUGGAGUCGAGAAUGAAGGGGUUUUCGGGGACUGACUGUCUCUAUUAAAUUAAUUUUAACUUACUUAGGGGGUGAAAAUUCCCCCUGGAAGAAAAAAGACGAGAAGACCCUAAGAGUUUUUACUAAGCCUUACGUGUGUAUAGGAAGUUUUUGCUGGGGCGGCAAGGAGACAGAUAUUAUAACCCUCUUGUUUAGUUUUUAGAAGACGUAUAUAUAAAGAAACAAGAAACUACCUUAGGGAUAACAGCAUAAUUUAGUAUAAGUUUGUGACCUCGAUGUUGGACUAGGGACUUUACGGCUAGCAGUCGCAAGAGCAGGUUCUGUUCGAACCUCAUUCCCCU